rnacentral:tRNA from 2 species
CGGGACGUAGCGCAGCUUGGUAGCGCGGCUGCUUUGGGAGCAGUAGGUCGCAGGUUCAAAUCCUGUCGUCCCGACCA